UACAGAGGGUGCGAGCGUUAAUCGGAAUUACUGGGCGUAAAGCGUGCGUAGACGGUUAUUUAAGUCGGGUGUGAAAGCCCCGGGCUCAACCUGGGAAUUGCAUUCGAGACUGAAUAGCUAGGGUACGGUAGAGGGAAGCGGAAUUUCCGGUGUAGCGGUGAAAUGCGUAGAUAUCGUCUGGAACGCCAAAGGUGAAAACAGACUGCUGGGAGUGUGCUGACGCUGAGACACGAAAGCCAGGGGAGCAAACGGG
rnacentral:rRNA from 1 species